rnacentral:lncRNA from 1 species
AUAAGUAAAAUAAUUAAUAAGAAUAAGUAAAAUAAUUAAUAAGAAUAAGUAAUAAAAACUGUGUUGUAUAACUUCACUCAAAAAAACUUUAUAAAAUUUUUCUAUUUUGAUACUUUCUUUUAGUUUAUUUAUUUAGUAUUUAUUUAUUUGUAUAUUUUGUAUAUUUGUAUCGAAUUUUUAUCGUUUUUUCAAUAAUACCUUUUACUUUUUCCUUUUACUUUAAAUUUUAUUUAAAUUUAACUUAUUAGAUUUAUUAGUUGAUUCAUUCACAUAAUAUCUCGAAUAAGAAGAAAAAAAAAGUAUCGCACGAUCAGAUCACUUGAAAAAAUCAAAGUGGUUAAGUGUCAAGAAAGACCCUUUGAAUCUAAUAUACGAAUACGUGCAUCACGAAUCACGAAUAUUGAUUAUUAGAUAUUAGAAUUCUUUUUUCGUUGUUCUCCUUCUUUCAUCGAAUAUUCUUUACUACUGGUACUUGUUAAUGGAUGACUAACCCAUUUUUAAAAUGAAAAAAGGGGGAUUCCAACAAAAAACUCUUCUUCUACAAGCUCCAAAUUUUUAGAUUUCACAUCUAAGAAUUGCGGAAAUAUAAUAUGAGAAUCCUCUUUAUAAUAUGAUAAUCUCCCUCAUGAAUUAUUAUUGAAACUCGUCGAAUUCGCAUUUUACCCG